rnacentral:tRNA from 1 species
GGGUCUAUAGCUCAGUGGUAGAGCGCCCACCUCGAAUGUGUGAGCACUGAGUUCAAUCCUCAGCACCA